rnacentral:SRP_RNA from 1 species
UUCUUUGCGGGGAGAUAUGUUUCAAACCCUGUCAGGUCUGAAAAGAAGCAGCAGUAGAAUCCUCUAUCUCCGCCGCUUAAUUUUU